rnacentral:snRNA from 1 species
AUACUUACCUGGUCGGGGUCUAUGAGCGAUCAAGAAGGCUCAUGGCCUAGAUCAAUGGUUCACAUUGCACAUAGUGAGCGCGUUGAUCUACCCUCUUCUUUGGGAGAGUGAAUGUCAUAAUUUGUGAUAGAGGGGGUAUGCGUCUGCGCGGCCCCUGC